rnacentral:piRNA from 2 species
UCCAGAAACAGUUUAUUCUCCAGGGAUACU